AAGAAGAGGAGAAGAGGAAAUCGCUCCCAUAAUAGACCAAUGCUAUGAUAGCUUGUUUGCAGACACCACCAAUAUUCACAACUUGGCUGAUUUCUACCAUGCAAUUUCUCAGACCAUCGAAGAAAUCAACACAAAACUUGGUGACACACAAUUUCGCAUACCAAGCACCAAGACACUUGAAAAAGUAUUCAAGGAACAAAUUCAAAGUAAAGACACCGGCAAGCACUUUUUUUUUUGGUCGAAGGAUAGACAUUUUACUGAGGAAGAGUUCAUGUCCUU